UAUAAUAAACAUUUAUGGCUCUUACAAAGUUUGAAAUUCUAUUAUUAAAAACUAAAUUUGCAGCACAAACAAUCCCUAAUGAUAUCACACCAUACAGUAUAUCCUAAGACUAUACAGAAUAGAUCGAAAGCACCACGAUAACAAUAGACAAGUAGAGUCUCCAGGCACACCACACAAUUGUUUUUCCUCAGUCCAGCUUCAAGUUUUACAACUGAAUUUUGUACCAUAAGG